AUAUUGAAUCAACUGGUUUAUACAAGAAAAAAUGUAAACUUGAUCGCAUGGUUGAAUCAAAAGGCACGUCCACACCAAUAAAGAUUCAAUGACCAUGGACCCCCAUCACAGGGCCCAAGAUGUCUUAUGUUGUUAAUUGUGUGAAAAAUCCGUUCCUCCAUUAUACCGUGUGACCUGUACCAUCAACCUGUGCGAGGCCUGCGUCGGGGAACAUUUACUGGGUGAAUCUAAAGAACAUAUCGUUAUGCCAAUUAAGCAGAGAGGAUUCACUUCUAACUAUCCUACAUGUCUUAAUCAUUCUAUGAAAAUUUGUGAACUUCAUUGUGAGCAUUGUGAUAUUCCCGUAUGUGUACUUUGUAUUUCCUCUCAGAAACACCAAUUCCAUGAUGUAACAGAUAUCAAGAAUACUUUGGAAAGAAAGAAAAAUUUUCUUAAAAUAGACCUGGAAGAAUUAGAAAAAUAUAUUUAUCCAAAAUAUCAAGAGAUUGCAUCGAGUAUUUCAGAACAGAAAGCUAAUCUAGGUGAAAACUAUCGGCAGUUAUCAGCAUCGCUCAACAAGCGGGGUAGAGAGUGGCACAGGAGGAUAGAUAACAUUAUUAAGGGUUUACAAUCUGACAUUAAUGAUAUUGAAGCAAAACACCUCACAGUUCUCAAUAAACAUGAAGAUGAAAUUGCAACCAGCAUUUCUGAAAUAACUCAAAGCAUUGUUGACCUUAAGAAAUUAUUGCACUCCAAUGAUAUUUACUAUGUCAAUACCUACAAAUCUAGAACUGUUGAUUUCAAAAGAUUGCCUCCAAAACUCGUUGUUUCCAUUCCAAAAUUCUCUUUUCAGAGGAUUGAUCAUGAAAAACUUUUCAAACAAUUUGGUUCUCUGACAGCAUUUUCCAUAAAAACAGAGGAGCGCAAACCCAUCGGCGUGGAAGUUUCUAGAACCGCAUCAUCCUCAAUUAACCGACCGUUGUUUCUUAAACCCGAAACCCUCGCAACAAUAGAGACAGGGUAUGACCAUCUUCAUGACGUGACCUGUUUGAGUGACGAGCAGAUAUGGACCCUCGGUAAUAAUAAUGUCAUAAAACUUUUCAAUCUCAAUGGAAAACUUCUUGAGACAUUUCAUACCAAUUUAGGGAAUCUGCAAUCAAAUAUAUCGAUUACAAGGAGAGGUGAAUUAGCUUUUACUGACAAAAGUGAUUGUACUGUAAAUAUAGUAAAGAACAUACAGAUACAAGAAAUAGUAAAAUUACAGGGAUGGAUGCCUCAAAAUCUCUGCUGUUCUUAUUUUGGUGACUUCGUUGUUGUCAUGCAAAGUGAUGAUAGUAAACACACAAAAGUUGUACGCUAUGCUGGUUCCACAGAAAAACAAAGUAUUCAAUUUGAUCACAGAGGAAAACCUCUCUAUUUAUCUAGCGUUUAAUGUAACUUUAAGUACAUUAGUGAGAACAGAAACCGCGAUAUUUGUGUCGCUGAUCAUUUUGCCGGUGCAGUAGUGGUGGUUAAUCAUGAUGGCAAACGCAGAUUUCUUUACACCGGUCCUCCUUUGUCAGGAAGUAUCCCGUUUAAACCUGUUGGCAUCACUACUGACAGCCAGAGUAGAAUAUUGACGUCAGAUUUUCACAACUAUCGUAUCCACAUUGUGGAUCAGAACGGACAGUUCCUUCAAUACAUCGGCGAUUGUGAUUUAAGUUGCCCAUGGGGUUUAUGUGUGGACACCAAAGACAAUCUAUUUGUGGCUGAGAAAGACACACAUAAGAUAAAAAAAAUUCAAUAUUAUAUGUAAAAAUAGUUUGAGUAUAGUACUGUCAAUGUAUAACUUAAGAUAACAUGUAAUUUUACGUAAUGGUUAUACGCCGAAAACUGUCCAUUCUGUCAGAUAUUGUAUAAAACACAAGUUACACUAAUCACGUGAUAGAAUUAACUUUGAGAAAUAACAGGCCAUUCUUUUGCAUUGAAAAAAAUCAUUCAAUUAAUUUC
rnacentral:sRNA from 1 species